rnacentral:lncRNA from 1 species
CAGAAAAGGUUUGGACCAGUGAGCUGGAUCAGCAGCAUUGGCCUCAUGAGAGAUCAACCCCUGGUUACAUCAGCAGUUUGAAAGCCAGGCUGAAGUGGUGGCUGCUGUCAGACAGUUUUCAGAUCUGGCUCUGGGCCAGGCGAACGUGGUGGAGCCCCAGCAUCCCAGGCUCGCCAGACCAGCAUCCUGUACCAAACUGUGCUCUGACCAGAGAGCAGGAAUGAAAGAAGCUAAAGCCAUCAUCAGACUCUGUGCAGCCAUGCAUUAUAUGGAAGAGCUGGAUGUAAGCUCUUAGCAUCUGCUCCAGCACCAUGCCUGCCC